CCUACGGGAGGCAGCAGUGAGGAAUUUUCCGCAAUGGGCUAACGCCUGACGGAGCAAUGCCGCGUGGAGGAGGAAGGCCUGUGGGUCGUAAACUCCUUUUCUCAGAGAAGAAGAUCUGACGGUAUCUGAGGAAUAAGCAUCGGCUAACUCUGUGCCAGCAGCCGCGGUAAUACAGGGGAUGCAAGCGUUAUCCGGAAUUAUUGGGCGUAAAGCGUCCUGAGGUGGCUUACCCAGUCGACUGUGAAAGCUCAAGGCUCAACCUUGAAACGGCAGUCGAAACUUGUAAGCUUGAGUACGGUAGAGGCAGAGGGAAUUCCCGGAGGAGAGGUGAAAUUCGUAGAUAUCGGGAGGAAGGCCAAAGGCGAAAGCACUCUGCUGGGCCGAUUACUGACACUGACAGACGAAAGCUAGGGGAGCGAAAGGGAUUAGAUACCCUGUAGUCCUAGCCGUAAACGAUGGAUACUAAGUGUUGCGCGACUCAACUCGUGCAGUGCUGCAGCUAACGCGGUAAGUAUCCCGCCUGGGGAGUAGUGCUCGCAAGAGUGAAACUUAAAUGAAAUUGACGGCUUGAGACUUACCAAGGCACACAGGGGAUUAGGG
rnacentral:rRNA from 1 species